rnacentral:rRNA from 1 species
AGAGUUUGAUCCUGGCUCAGAUUGAACGCUGGCGGCAUGCCUUACACAUGCAAGUCGAACGGCAGCAUGAUCUAGCUUGCUAGAUUGAUGGCGAGUGGCGAACGGGUGAGUAAUACAUCGGAACGUGCCCUGUAGUGGGGGAUAACUAGUCGAAAGAUUAGCUAAUACCGCAUACGACCUGAGGGUGAAAGUGGGGGACCGCAAGGCCUCAUGCUAUAGGAGCGGCCGAUGUCUGAUUAGCUAGUUGGUGGGGUAAAGGCCCACCAAGGCGACGAUCAGUAGCUGGUCUGAGAGGACGAUCAGCCGCACUGGGACUGAGACACGGCCCAGACUCCUACGGGAGGCAGCAGUGGGGAAUUUUGGACAAUGGGGGCAACCCUGAUCCAGCAAUGCCGCGUGUGUGAAGAAGGCCUUCGGGUUGUAAAGCACUUUUGUCCGGAAAGAAAUCGCACUUACUAAUAUUAGGUGUGGAUGACGGUACCGGAAGAAUAAGGACCGGCUAACUACGUGCCAGCAGCCGCGGUAAUACGUAGGGUCCAAGCGUUAAUCGGAAUUACUGGGCGUAAAGCGUGCGCAGGCGGUUGUGCAAGACCGAUGUGAAAUCCCCGGGCUUAACCUGGGAAUUGCAUUGGUGACUGCACGGCUAGAGUGUGUCAGAGGGGGGUAGAAUUCCACGUGUAGCAGUGAAAUGCGUAGAGAUGUGGAGGAAUACCGAUGGCGAAGGCAGCCCCCUGGGAUAACACUGACGCUCAUGCACGA